CAGAUCCAUGAGUCAUGUGGAUGAGGACAAGCAAAUGCUAAGCAAGGGCACAUGCAGCAACCGCAGGUUUAAAUGGGUUGGGUGCUGAUUUGGCAAUGCAUUUCUUUUGAACGCUGCUUAGAGUGACAUUAACUCUGAGUUAACAAUCAUAUCCCCUCUAACAAUCUUUUAUUUUUAUUUUUAUUAGUUAGGAUAUGGCCUCUAUUCACCGCGAUUCAAAUUUUGAGGUUGGAAGAUCUUUUUUUAGGGAUGUUUCUGUAACCAAUUUUUGGCUUUUUUUAAAAAAUGAAAAAUGCGAGCUUUCACAACAUUUUUAUUAUUUCUUAAGAGUUGAGUCUGAUUUAGGCACUGAAAUAUUCUGAAUCGGGACAUUUUUAAAGCUAGUGUACUUUUUUGUCUAUAUUAUUUUAUAUCGAAUUAAUCUGGCGUCGGAACUACCAUCCAAGCACAG
rnacentral:lncRNA from 1 species